rnacentral:lncRNA from 1 species
GUGGGACCCAAUUAGUGGGCCACACGUGGGAGAUCCACACAUCGACAGCCAUGUGGAGCCAAGGGGACUCACCCUACAUGCGGGGCCAAAAGGACUUUCCCAUCACGUGGUAGUAUAGUACGGCCUUGCUCACUGGCUCUGAUACCAUGUAGAAUUAAUAGAGAGACGGGCCGAAGGCCCACUUCUAAUAACACCGAUAUUGUUCCCAACUUGGUAAUUACCACUUGUACAAUUCGUUAGGUGUAUCGUUUUAUCACAAAAGACCUCAAUGUUAGUUGGAGUGGGGUUUGGAUAUUUAAACUCUUAUUUUCUCAUUGAUACGGUCCAUGUGGGACAUUUCAACACGCCCCCUCACGUGGGACCUAAUUAAUGGGUCAUAUGUGGGAGAUCCAUACAUUGACAACCACGCGGAGCCAAUGUGACUCACU